AUUGAACGCUGGCGGCAGGCUUAACACAUGCAAGUCGAGCGGGGGAAGGUAGCUUGCUACCGGACCUAGCGGCGGACGGGUGAGUAAUGCUUAGGAAUCUGCCUAUUAGUGGGGGACAACAUCUCGAAAGGGAUGCUAGUACCGCAUACGUCCUACGGGAGAAAGCAGGGGAUCUUCGGACCUUGCGCUAAUAGAUGAGCCUAAGUCGGAUUAGCUAGUUGGUGGGGUAAAGGCCUACCAAGGCGACGAUCUGUAGCGGGUCUGCGAGGAUGAUCCGCCACACUGGGACUGGGUCGCGGCCCAGGCUACUACGGGAGGCAGCAGUGGGGAAUAUUGGACAAUGGGGUGACCCCUGAUCCAGCCAUGCCGCGUGUGUGAAGAAGGCCUUAUGGUUGUAAAGCACUUUAAGCGAGGAGGAGGCGACUCUAGUUAAUACCUAGGGAUAGUGGACGUUACUCGCAGAAUAAGCACCGGCUAACUCUGUGCCAGCCGCCGCCGUAA
rnacentral:rRNA from 1 species